GCUUGCACCUCUUGAGAGCGGCGGACGGGUGAGUAAUGCCUAGGAAUCUGCCUGGUAGUGGGGGAUAACGUUCGGAAACGGACGCUAAUACCGCAUACGUCCUACGGGAGAAAGCAGGGGACCUUCGGGCCUUGCGCUAUCAGAUGAGCCUAGGUCGGAUUAGCUAGUUGGUGAGGUAAUGGCUCACCAAGGCGACGAUCCGUAACUGGUCUGAGAGGAUGAUCAGUCACACUGGAACUGAGACACGGUCCAGACUCCUACGGGAGGCAGCAGUGGGGAAUAUUGGACAAUGGGCGAAAGCCUGAUCCAGCCAUGCCGCGUGUGUGAAGAAGGUCUUCGGAUUGUAAAGCACUUUAAGUUGGGAGGAAGGGCAGUAAAUUAAUACUUUGCUGUCUUGACGUUACCGACAGAAUAAGCACCGGCUAACUCUGUGCCAGCAGCCGCGGUAAUACAGAGGGUGCAAGCGUUAAUCGGAAUUACUGGGCGUAAAGCGCGCGUAGGUGGUUCGUUAAGUUGGAUGUGAAAUCCCCGGGCUCAACCUGGGAACUGCAUUCAAAACUGUCGAGCUAGAGUAUGGUAGAGGG
rnacentral:rRNA from 1 species